rnacentral:hammerhead_ribozyme from 1 species
GUCCAGCUGACGAGUCCCAAACAGGACGAAACGCGAGUCCUGGAU